rnacentral:lncRNA from 1 species
CAUACUCCUUGUUCACAAAUAACAUAUAUAGACAUGAUGCUCAAAUGAGGUGAUAUGAGUGACUAUAGAAUACAGUAAAUAACAUAUAACAAGGAAAGUUUGAAAUUCAUUACAUUAUGUAUAACAACCUUAGCAAAACAAGUGGCAUCUAAUAAGAGAAUGAAAUCAUCCAAAACUCAUCAUCUGCAGCCAUGCAUCUUCAUCCCAACCUCAGUAAGUUAUCCAGUCAAACAUUUCCCUUUGGUCUCUUUCAUUUCAAUACAUUCAAAUGUGCCUGCAAGAUUGAUGAACAACUGAGAAUAUUCCAAAUAUCAAAAUGUUUCAUUAAAGACAACAAGCCUAAACAUACCUUCCCAUUAGUCGAUUUCGAUGCGCUCUUCUUUUGAAGUUUUUUGGUGCGCAUUUUCUCUUCAAACAGGUAGGGUCCUGUAUGUUGUCACCGCUUGGAGUCUAUACUGAUCUACAAUCAACCACUAUUUGAACAACAUGCGGGCAUAGGACAUUGCUUCUAUCACUCGACCUCGUACUCAUAGAGGUGGUUGUUUCCUUUUCAAUCCACUCCAUUAUUGAACAGGUUUCCUCAUCAUCAUCUGUGGUCAUGUUCGCUAGUGUAGCAAAUGAUUUGCACAUUAUGUAGUGUACUAACCAACCAAUCGUAA